rnacentral:rRNA from 1 species
GACGAACGCUGGCGGCGUGCUUAACACAUGCAAGUCGAACGAAGAGCGAUGGAAGCUUGCUUCUAUCAAUCUUAGUGGCGAACGGGUGAGUAACGCGUAAUCAACCUGCCCUUCAGAGGGGGACAACAGUUGGAAACGACUGCUAAUACCGCAUACGAUCUAACCUCGGCAUCGAGGAUAGAUGAAAGGUGGCCUCUACAUGUAAGCUAUCACUGAAGGAGGGGAUUGCGUCUGAUUAGCUAGUUGGAGGGGUAACGGCCCACCAAGGCGAUGAUCAGUAGCCGGUCUGAGAGGAUGAACGGCCACAUUGGGACUGAGACACGGCCCAGACUCCUACGGGAGGCAGCAGUGGGGAAUCUUCCGCAAUGGACGAAAGUCUGACGGAGCAACGCCGCGUGAGUGAUGACGGCCUUCGGGUUGUAAAGCUCUGUUAAUCGGGACGAAAGGCCUUCUUGCGAAUAGUUAGAAGGAUUGACGGUACCGGAAGAGAAAGCCACGGCUAACUACGUG